AUUGAACGCUGGCGGCAGGCCUAACACAUGCAAGUCGAACGAGUGGCGGACGGGUGAGGAAUGUCUGGGAAACUGCCCGAUGGCGGGGGAUAACUACUGGAAAAGGUAGCUAAUACCGCAUACCAUCGGAUGUGCCCAGAUGGGGUUAGCUAGUAGGGGGGGUAACGGCUCACCUAGGCGACGAUCCCUAGCUGGUCUGAGAGGAUGACCAGCCACACUGGAACCUAGACACGGUCCAGACUCCUACGGGAGGCAGCAGUGGGGAAUAUUGCACAAUGGGCGAAAGCCUGAUGCAGCCAUGCCGCGUGUAUGAAGAAGGCCGUCGGGUUGUAAAGUACUUUCAGCGAGGAGGCGUUACUCGCAGAAGAAGCACCGGCUAACUCCGUGCCAGCAGACGCGGUAAUAC
rnacentral:rRNA from 1 species